rnacentral:rRNA from 1 species
GUGCCAGCCGCCGCGGUAAUACGUAGGGUGCGAGCGUUAAUCGGAAUUACUGGGCGUAAAGCGUGCGCAGGCGGUUUUGUAAGCCAGUCGUGAAAUCCCCGGGCUUAACCUGGGAAUGGCGAUUGGGACUGCAAGGCUCGAGUAUGGCAGAGGGGACUGGAAUUCCUGGUGUAGCAGUGAAAUGCGUAGAUAUCAGGAGGAAUACCGAUGGCGAAGGCAGGUCCCUGGGCUGAUACUGACGCUCAUGCACGAAAGCGUGGGGAGCAAACAGGAUUAGAAACCCGAGUAGUCC